UACGUAGGUGGCAAGCGUUGUCCGGAUUUAUUGGGUUUAAAGGGUGCGUAGGCGGUCUUAUAAGUCAGUGCUGAAAUAUCCCGGCUUAACCGGGGGGGUGGCAUUGAUACUGUAGGACUUGAGUAAAGUUGAGGUUGGCGGAAUUGACGGUGUAGCGGUGAAAUGCUUAGAUAUCGUCAAGAACACCUAUUGCGGAGGCAGCUAACUAAGCUUUAACUGACGCUGAGGAGCGAAAGCGUGGGGAGCGAACAGG
rnacentral:rRNA from 1 species